GGUAUUUCUUGGUUUUUACUUUUUAGUUGUUUCUUAUGUUGUAUUGAAUAAUAUUGAAUUUUCGUUACUAAAAAGGAAUAUGAUUAUAACUGUUAUAUACUUGGUUUUGUUCUUCGGAAAUUUUUUUUUUAUGAUUUGUUUUAGGUAUUUGUUUGAUGGAUUAUUCUUUAUGUGAUAUUGGAUUUAUUUGUCUAUUUCUAUGGAAAGUAUUUUUUGGUUUAUUCCCAACUAUUUUUUAAGUUGUGUUAAAUUGUAUUAGUUUUUAUAUUUAAUUUCAGUAAAACGUGGAUUUUUUUUUUUUUUGUAUCAACAUAAACCAAGGAUUCUUCGGGAGCCAGAACUUGAAUUUUUUAUUGUUUCAACCUAAAGGAGGUGUCCUUCGAGAGCCUGAACCUGGAUUUUUUUUUUGAUCGACCCAAAUCAAUUUUCCUCCGGGAGCCGGGGAUCCCCUUUUCAUUUCUACUUCUGAACAUAACACUUUGAAUAUUUUAUGGAGAUGUCCUUCAAGAACCAGAACUUGGAUUUUUUAUCGUUUCAACCUAAAGAAGGUGUCCUUCGAAAGCCUGGUACCUACUUAUAAUUUUUUUUUCCAUUUCAAAUAUUUA